GAUGAACGCUGGCGGCGUGCCUAAUACAUGCAAGUAGAACGCACAGUUUAUACCGUAGCUUGCUACACCAUAGACUGUGAGUUGCGAACGGGUGAGUAACGCGUAGGUAACCUGCCUGGUAGCGGGGGAUAACUAUUGGAAACGAUAGCUAAUACCGCAUAAUAUUGAUUAUUGCAUGAUAAUUGAUUGAAAGAUGCUAUUGCAUCACUACCAGAUGGACCUGCGUUGUAUUAGCUAGUAGGUGAGGUAACGGCUCACCUAGGCGACGAUACAUAGCCGACCUGAGAGGGUGAUCGGCCACACUGGGACUGAGACACGGCCCAGACUCCUACGGGAGGCAGCAGUAGGGAAUCUUCGGCAAUGGACGAAAGUCUGACCGAGCAACGCCGCGUGAGUGAAGAAGGUUUUCGGAUCGUAAAGCUCUGUUGUAAGAGAAGAACGGGUGUGAGAGUGGAAAGUUCACACUGUGACGGUAUCUUACCAGAAAGGGACGGCUAACUACGUG
rnacentral:rRNA from 1 species